rnacentral:rRNA from 1 species
CGAACGCUGGCGGCAUGCCUAACACAUGCACGUCGAACGCGACCUUCGGGUCUAGUGGCGCCCGGGUGCGUAACGCGUGGGAACCUGCCCUUAGGUUCGGAAUAACUCCCCGAAAGGGGUGCUAAUACCGGAUAAUGUCUUCGGACCAAAGAUUUAUCGCCUUUGGAUGGGCCCGCGUUGGAUUAGCUAGUUGGUAGGGUAAAAGCCUACCAAGGCGACGAUCCAUAGCUGGUCUGAGAGGAUGAUCAGCCACACUGGGACUGAGACACGGCCCAGACUCCUACGGGAGGCAGCAGUGGGGAAUAUUGGACAAUGGGCGAAAGCCUGAUCCAGCAAUGCCGCGUGAGUGAUGAAGGCCUUAGGGUUGUAAAGCUCUUUUACCCGGGAUGAUAAUGACAGUACCGGGAGAAUAAGCUCCGGCUAACUCCGUG